UUAAAGAUUGCCGGAUUGGAACCUACGGACCUAAUUGUGUACAAAGAUGUCAAUGUCUGGAAGGACCUUGUGAAACUGUAACCGGUUCCUGUAGAACAGGAUGCCAGAGAGGCUGGACAGGAGCCGCGUGCAAUCAAACCUGCGACAACGGAUGGCACGGUCAGGGAUGUCUUACACAAUGUGGUCAAUGUCUGAACAACGCUACCUGUAAUAAGACUUCCGGUGUGUGUCCAGAUGGAUGUGCUGCAGGAUACAAUGGUUCUCUCUGCAUAGAAAAAUGUGAUGACGGAUUGCAUGGCCUUCGAUGUCAGAACAAUUGUGGUAAUUGUCAGAACAAGGUGCCCUGCAACAAGGUUUCCGGACUCUGCCCUGGAGAAUGUGAACCCGGAUAUAACGGGACUAUGUGCAAAGACGGUAAAUUAUAAAUAAAUGUAAAAUUAAUUUGUGGGUUGAGCGUCCCUCUAUACAAAUGCAGUAGUCAUAUUUUAAGACACACAGAGAAAUAUAUAACUGCACGAAAUUGUUGGCCCAAAAAGA